GACGAACGCUGGCGGCGUGCUUAACACAUGCAAGUCGAACGGUGAAGUGCCUUCCUUUUUGGUGGGUGUGGAUGAGUGGCGAACGGGUGAGUAACACGUGAGUAACCUGCCCCCUUCUUCUGGAUAACCGCAUGAAAGUGUGGCUAAUACGGGAUGUUCUGGGUCUGUCGCAUGAUGGGUCUGGGAAAGAUAUUGUUUCGGUGGGGGAUGGGCUCGCGGCCUAUCAGCUUGUUGGUGGGGUGAUGGCCUACCAAGGCGGUGACGGGUAGCCGGCCUGAGAGGGUGGACGGUCACACUGGGACUGAGACACGGCCCAGACUCCUACGGGAGGCAGCAGUGGGGAAUAUUGCACAAUGGGCGCAAGCCUGAUGCAGCGACGCCGCGUGAGGGAUGGAGGCCUUCGGGUUGUGAACCUCUUUCGCCAGUGAAGCAGGCCUGCCUCGUUUGUGGGUGGGUUGACGGUAGCUGGAUAAGAAGCGCCGGCUAACUACGUG
rnacentral:rRNA from 1 species